UACGUAGGUGGCAAGCGUUGUUCGGAUUUAUUGGGCGUAAAGGGCAUGUAGGCGGUUAGAAAAGUGUGAAUUGAAAGGCGCAGGCUCAACCUGCUGUUUGGUUUGCAAACUCUCUAACUAGAGUACAGAAGGGGAAACUGGAAUUCCGCGUGUAGGGGUGAAAUCUGUAGAUAUGCGGAAGAAUACUUGUGGCGAAGGCGAGUUUCUGGUCUGUAACUGACGCUGAAAUGCGAAAGUGUGGGGAG
rnacentral:rRNA from 1 species